GAUGAACGCUGGCGGCGUGCCUAAUACAUGCAAGUCGAGCGAACAGACGAGGAGCUUGCUCCUCUGACGUUAGCGGCGGACGGGUGAGUAACACGUGGAUAACCUACCUAUAAGACUGGGAUAACUUCGGGAAACCGGAGCUAAUACCGGAUAAUAUAUUGAACCGCAUGGUUCAAUAGUGAAAGACGGUUUUGCUGUCACUUAUAGAUUGAUCCGCGCCGCAUUAGCUAGUUGGUAAGGUAACGGCUUACCAAGGCAACGAUGCGUAGCCGACCUGAGAGGGUGAUCGGCCACACUGGAACUGAGAAACGGUCCAGACUCCUACGGGAGGCAGCAGUAGGGAAUCUUCCGCAAUGGGCGAAAGCUUGACGGAGCAACGCCGCGUGAGUGAUGAAGGUCUUCGGAUCGUAAAACUCUGUUAUUAGGGAAGAACAAAUGUGUAAGUAACUAUGCACGUCUUGACGGUACCUAAUCAGAAAGCCACGGCUAACUACGUG
rnacentral:rRNA from 1 species